rnacentral:rRNA from 1 species
UACGUAGGGAGCGAGCGUUGUCCGGAUUCAUUGGGCGUAAAGAGCUCGUAGGCGGCUUGGCAAGUCGGGUGUGAAAACUCCAGCUCAACCUGGAGACGCCACCCGAUACUGCCAUGGCUAGAGUCCGGUAGGGGACCACGGAAUUCCUGGUGUAGCGGUGAAAUGCGCAGAAUAUCAGGAGGACACCGGUGGCGAAGGCGGUGGUCUGGGCCGGAACUGGACGGCUGGAGGAGCGAAAGCGUGGGGAGC